UACGUAGGGUCCGAGCGUUGUCCGGAAUUACUGGGCGUAAAGCGCACGUAGUCGGCUUUGCAAGUCGGGUGUGAAAUCCCCGGGCUCAACCUGGGAACUGCAUCCGAGACUGCAUUGCUAGAGUAUGGGAGAGGGAAGCGGAAUUUCUGGUGUAGCAGUGAAAUGCGUAGAUAUCAGAAGGAACAUCAGUGGCGAAGGCGGCUUCCUGGACCAAUACUGACGAUCAGGUGCGAAAGCGUGGGGAGCAAACAGG
rnacentral:rRNA from 1 species